UGAACUGCAGACCACGGCUGCCUGCCCUAGUUAUCAAAUGACCUGAAAUUCAGCACGAUCAUCUGCCAGAACAGCUGCUUCCCUGACAAUGAGAGAAACUCCUGCCUGGCUGCUGAAGCCCAGCCAGCAGCAGGAGCCAGCACACACAGCCUCCCCUGCUCCCAUCCCCCUGCACGGCACGGCCUCAAAAUGUCUCGUGUUCCUCGAAUUCUGCACGCUGACUCCUUCCUCUGCUGAUUUAUUUAUUUUGCUUCUGUAUCAUUAAAAAGAGAUUUCAGAGACCUGGUACUUCAAAGAGGGGGAAAAUAACGAAACAUCCUUCCCAAGGAAUUAAAAUGAAGAAAUGAAGAGUGAAAGCUGUUAUUGAAGAGCAGCCCCUCAGCUGGAACCUAAAUGUUACUCCAUUGAACCCAAUAGACAUAAUUUCCUGCUAAACUGGAUCUAGAAGAUUGUUUUCUGUGUGGAUCUGUCCUCCUGGCUAAAUACAUUUUCCCAUUCCCUAGCUGAAAUGGGAAAUGAGGACUGCACAUGUUCAUGGUGUUCUGUGUCUCAGUCCUAGAGAGCCCAACAGGUUCACACUGCUAGUGUUGUGCCUAAGAAGCAUCUGUCUGAUUUUCACACAUGUAACUGGUUGUAGCUGUUGCUAGAGCUCUUAUGUGCAUGAGCAGGAACAAAGUUUGGACUGAACAUAUGCCUUAUUCCCUGUGUUUACUUCAAGGGCAUGCCUACCCAACUCAGCAAGAAAACUAUUGACACAGUGCCAUGAUCAAGGGAGAGGAUUCCUCCCCUCUACUCUGCCCUUGUGAGAUUGCACCUGGAAUACUGUGCCAGCCCUGGAGCUCUCAGCACAUGGAAAACAUCGACCUGUUGGGAUGAGAGCAGAGGAAGGCCUCAACGACGAUCAGAAAUACACUUUGAGAGAGUUUGGGUUGUUUAGCCUGGAGAAGAGAAGGCUCUGGGGAAACUUUAUAGCACCUUCUAAAAUGAGCCUACAAGAAAUAGGGACGUUUUACAAGGGUAUGUAGUGAUAGGACAAGGGAAGGGCUUUAAGGUGAAGGUUUAGAUUAGAUAUUGGGAGGACAUUCUUUACUGUGAGGGUGGUGAGGCCCUGGCACAGGUUGCCCAGAGAAGUUGUGGAUGCUCCAUCCCUGGAAGUGUUCAAGGCCAAGCGGGAUGGGGUCCAAGCCACCUGGUCUAGAGGAAGGUGUCUCUCCUAUGACAGGAGGGUUGGAACUGGAUGAUCUUUAAAGUCUGCUUCAACCCAAACCAUUUCAUGAUUUCAUGAUUCUGUGAUUCUGUGAUCCACCGGAGGGGGAUGAAGAUGACUGGAGGCUGCAAAUGGCACAUGAGGAAGGGCCUGGGGGAGUCAUCCUGUUUGGCUCAGAGAAAGGAAGGCUGAGGACCAAUCUCACUAUGCCACCAGCACCUGACUGGUUCAUGAUGGGAAAGGCACCCUGGAACAAGGGUCUGGUCACGUGGGGAGGUUUCCAUCCUUGGCGAUUCUCAAGGCUCACUGGAUCAAGGCACGGAGGAACUUGACCAAAUUUUGAAUUUAGCCCUGCUUUAAAUAGGUGCUUGGACUAGAUGUUCUCCACAGAUCCCUAAAUAACUCUGCCUGAAGACACUGAGGAAAUUAGGGAAGCAGGUAUCACUGUCCACAACAUAUGGAGAGCAAAUAAAGGAACUUCAUCUGGCCAUGGUUUUUAUUGCAAAACGACUUCUCUAUUAAUGGCUUGGGGUCCACUAAGCAGCUUCUAAGUCUUAAUUAAGGUCGUUAUUUCAAAGAUAAUUCACAUUUAAUACCUAAGUAUACUUAAUAAUCUCCUAAGUGCUUGUCUGAAUUUGAGCUCUGCUGUAACAGAUGACCUUGUAUGAAACAAGGAACCAAAAAGCAGAAGUAGGAUGCUGACUUAGUAUUAAAAUUCUCCACAGCACCAAGCCUCUAAAAGACACAAUGCUAUUCUACACACUACAGCAAAAUAGUCCAAGCCAGAAGAUUUAUGUUCAUUAAAUAAUAAAUAAUUUCAGGAGACUGUGAGAACUCAGGAACUUUGGCCUUGGACACUGCAGACUUCAAAAUUUCCAAGUGAGGUUAAUUGAGCUAAAUGAUGGCAACUCCUCCAGUGCUACUCGUUCUGUGUCAAGGAAGAGUUGUUCUAAGUUGUGAUUUCUCUUGUAAUUAAAAGGGCAGGUUUGGUACAGACAAGGGCCUGAGUUUCAAAACAACACUUGUAUUUGGAAAGGAAAAGAAAAAUGCAGAGCUAAAAUGGAUGGUGGUAAGAAAAGGAAAGGAGAGUGAAAAACCAAAACAGCCAGUGGCUUAAUGAAACUUGACUUUGAGCUGCAUAAAUAAACAGAGCCACAGCUUCUUGCAGAAUUUAGGAAAAUGCCCUGAGCACAUGAAAUGUGAUGGUUACCAUAGAAAUUUACAUACAGUCACACAUCAGACAAAUCCUGAAACUCUUUUCCAGUAUAAACUCCCAAUUGAAAACAGGAUCAGGCACAAAGAACAAACCUGUCAUCCACUCUGGUUGAGACAUUAUUCACAUCACUCCACAGGGGUCAGCUCAUGCUCUGUGAGGAGUGCCCACUCUCCACAGCACAGGGAUUUAACUCUGGGAGCAGCUGGCUGCUCCACACCUGUUUUACCUGUUGAAAAUGUGUGUGCUAUGGGGAGUAGCAGAGAGCAAACCUCCUUCCUCUAAGGGAGGCAUCUCAUGGCAUGGGCUGCCAUGCUUUGAGUUUGUGUCCAAAACAGCAACGCUUAAGACACCAAAGUGUGUUGUACUCCUUUCCAAUUCCCCAAAUUAGGAAAGAUGAGGGAAAACUAGGAAUAUUAGGAAAAGGGCAGAAGCUGGGGAGCAGCUGCCAGGGUGAAAUGGCAGAGGGACCUUCUUGCCCUGCACCACUCCCCUUGCAGGUCCUCCCAGCUGACUGUGGGUAACAUUGCUGCCUGUUUGGAGGUGAACUGAGGGUGAGGUAAGCACCUGCCUGCUCAUGGAAGGGACACAGGCUCUAGGGCCAAGACUGGUGACAGCCAAGGCAGCAGGCAUCCACCACCUCCACGAGCAGGUGAUGAUGCUGCACGGAUUUGGGCUGCCUGGGAGCUGCCUGGAUGUGUCACUGGCAUUGCUGGAGCCCAGCCCUGGACCCCCCAAGCAGCCCUGCAAGAGCUCAGAGAGGGUUCGUGAGAAAGACUCUGACUCAGGGACAGCAAAAGAAGAAAGAGUCAAUACAUCUGGACAUGUAGGAUGAAAAGGCAAAAAAAAAAAAAAAAAAAAAAAAGAUGUUGUUCUCAGGUCUAUGGCCAGAGGGAAAGUAAGGAACAAAGUGGUGACUGAGUCAUAGCUGUCUGCUGCCAGAGCCAUUAACUGAGGGCGACAACAGGAUGGGUGAGGGGUUGCACUGGAGAGAGAGCCUGGGUGCUGGAGUGGGAGCUGUGGCUGCACUCAGCUCUCUCUCAAGGGCAUCCCUCCUGGAGGCCUUCCCUCCUGGUGGAUAAACACACUGCACAGAGCUGUCAUGCUGGAGCUUGACAUCCUGAAGAAUAAACAAGGGUGCCUUUGACUGGAGAUGGGAAUGACAAGGAAUAUUGAACGACAAGGAAAGGCAGGAUCAGAAGUUCCCUUGAUGAUAAAGGUCUCUCCCUGUCAGAGAUCACACUCUCCUCAGCAAAACCCAACUGCUGAGGCUACAAUUUCACUUCAAAUUAAACACUUUCAUAAACUUCCUCUUACCUGUGAUAAUGCAACUGUGACCCAAAUGGCACAGCCCAUGGCAGGAGUGUGCUGGACAGACCUGCUGGACACAAGGCUUGUCUCCUUCCUGCCCUGGGGGUUCAGGGAAUUUGGGACAGAAAUUGGCACCUCAGUGAGUCCUCUCCAGCCUCCUGAUGCCAGCGCUUUGUCCUUCUGCACUGCAGCACUGCAAUGCCACUUGGGAUCCCAGCUGGACAAGCACAUGCUCAAACAUAAACUCUGAGCCAUCACUUCUGACAUCUGGACUGGCCAUGGCCAAGCACCAUCACUGCAGGCUGAGCCUGGGCUGCAGGGGACACACAGAACUGGUGCAUUGUGGCAGCAGACCUGCAGGAAUCAUUAUAUUGUGUUCCCACUCUAACAGUUGAAAAUAAUUAAUUUUCAGAAUAUGGAUAUGUGAAAGACUUUAUGCUGCUUCUGUGCCAAUGCACAAGGUGUUCUGUCAGACUUUCUCCACCUGCCAUCUCUUAGUGUCCUAAAAAAGGAUGAAAUGAAAACAGGAAUUUUUUUUCCAUCAGGAUCUUUACAGUUCACAAGGAAUUUUCUAGUAUCACUUAGCAAAUUAAUUUAUGCUUCCUUCCCCUCCAAGCCCUUCUCCAAGUGUGAAUUUUUAUUCAAAUAAAUCUUGGCAGAGUAAUAAACCAA